UCCUUAGUAGCUCAACAGUAGAGUGGUCAUCUGUUAACUGACUGGUCGUAGGUUCGAAUCUUACUUGAGGAG
rfam:Gossypium raimondii chromosome 4, whole genome shotgun sequence.